CGCGUGCGCAGCGCAAGGGCGAGCCCGUCUGGUUCUCAAGCUGCCGGACCUCCCGCCCGCUCCCCAGGCCAGGGAAAGCUGAGGCCCGAGGUCCUUCAGACCACCUUUUCCCACCCUAGCCUGAGGUCUGAGUACGAACCUGGCCCCAUCUGGCUCCUAUCCCUGAACUGCCUGUUGGUUUACACAUGGUGGGUUUCCUUUCUGUAAUCUCUGCAAUGGGCUUCAGACAAUGACCCUUACAGAAAAUCAAGGUUAGCAGUCUGGUCCAGGUGUGGCCAAUGCCUGAUGACUCGGGCUGCCCUGUGAUAACCAGGAGUGACUUGUCAGAGAAGGCCACGCUCUGGGAGCACAGCGUCCCCUACCACACCUGGCGUGCCAGCAUGAGACAGGACCCCUGAGGUGGGCAGGUGGGCACUUCAAAUGGAGCCAGCCCGCUGCAGGACAGUGACAUACUCAAAAUUUUAAUGGCUCAUUUGAGGGGCAGGGGCCUGGUCAUCCAUAUCUCCUCAUCUUUAUCUCACAGCCUAAAAAUAGCUGGAUUCAGCAGUUGUGAAAUAGCCACGUGGGGCAUACAUCUCCCAGAUGUCUUCUAGGAGAACUGGAGCACCAGAGGGCCCAGCACAGGGCCCAGAGAGCUGGGAUGGGUUGCCUGCCUUAACCAGAGGACCCCGCACUUCACUUCCCAAGAUACCCAGCCAGCCUCAGCCCUGAGACAGGGAGCCGGGUCCCAAGGUCAGACCUCAGGGGGUGCCCCAAGGACCACAGGAAGUCUAGUUUAUGUCUGUGUGCGGAUUGAUUCCCAGGGAGUAGGCCCUGCAGCACUCUGUCUUGGGGACACCCAAAACACAGUUGAAAUGCCAGAGAUUCCUGGAUUUAAUACAGUUCCUGGACUUCGGAGCUUGGACCUGCACACUCUUAAGACUCCUUCCAGGGCUGCGGAUUUAGCUCAGUGGUUCUGCCGCCUGCCUCACAAGUGCAAGGACCCGAGUUUGAUCCUCGGUACCAAAAAAAAAAAGAGAACACUCCUUCCAAAAGGGCCCCGCGAGGAGCUGUGUAAAUCACAGUGCUGGCCCAUCCCAGGC
rnacentral:lncRNA from 1 species